rnacentral:lncRNA from 1 species
GAGAGAGAGAGAGAGAGAGGGGGGAGAGGGGGGAGGGGGGAAAUUAAAAUUAAAAGGUAUUAAAAUAAAUAUUCGAUAAAGUUAGGUGAGGUAUUUAAAGUUUUUUGUAUAUAAUUUAACGAAAUAUUAAUGAAAGAGCUGACGAAAAAAAAAAAAUCACAUAUACUAAAUUAAUAUAUUUUAAAUAACAUCAUACUAAAAUAAAAAAGGGUUAUUUGCAUACACGUCCCUGCAAAUAUAGUGAAUUACGAAAAUAUUUCUGCAAAACGGAAACUCCAUAAGUUGUCCCUGCAAAAGUCCUAAGUUAUGCAGAUAUGUCCCUCCGGUUAACAUCCGUUAGUGAUCUGUUUAUUUUUUAACAGUGGAUUCGUAAAAUGACCAUUUUACCCUCACAAAUAUAUCCCUCCAAAAGUUUUCUUUCCUUCUCUUUCUCUUCCUCUUCGGACCGUCGAAGCGGACGACGGCGGCGGCGGCGUGGGGUCGGGUUCGCCGGCGACGAAGAAGA